CGAACGCUGGCGACGUGCUUAACACAUGCAAGUCGAACGGAAAGGCCCUGCUUUUGUGGGGUGCUCGAGUGGCGAACGGGUGAGUAACACGUGAGUAACCUGCCCUUGACUUUGGGAUAACUUCAGGAAACUGGGGCUAAUACCGGAUAGGAGCUCCUGCUGCAUGGUGGGGGUUGGAAAGUUUCGGCGGUUGGGGAUGGACUCGCGGCUUAUCAGCUUGUUGGUGGGGUAGUGGCUUACCAAGGCUUUGACGGGUAGCCGGCCUGAGAGGGUGACCGGCCACAUUGGGACUGAGAUACGGCCCAGACUCCUACGGGAGGCAGCAGUGGGGAAUAUUGCACAAUGGGCGGAAGCCUGAUGCAGCAACGCCGCGUGCGGGAUGACGGCCUUCGGGUUGUAAACCGCUUUCGCCUGUGACGAAGCGUGAGUGACGGUAAUGGGUAAAGAAGCACCGGCUAACUACGUG
rnacentral:rRNA from 1 species